UUCCGGUUGAUCCUGCCGGACCUGACUGCUAUCGGAUUGAUAUUAAGCCAUGCGAGUCAUUGUAGUAAUACAAGGCAGACGGCUCAGUAACGCGUAGUCAACCUAACCUAUGGACGGGAAUAACCUCGGGAAACUGAGUAUAAUGCCCGAUAGAACGUUAUGCCUGGAAUGGUUUAUGUUCCAAAUGAUUUAUCGCCGUAGGAUGGGACUGCGGCCUAUCAGUUUGUUGGUGAGGUAAUGGCCCACCAAGACUAUUACAGGUACGGGCUCUGAGAGGAGUAGCCCGGAGAUGGGUACUGAGACACGGACCCAGGCCCUAUGGGGCGCAGCAGGCGAGAAAACUUUGCAAUGUGCGAAAGCACGACAAGGUUAAUCCGAGUGGUUUCUGCUAAAGAAACCUUUUGUUAGUCCUAGAAACACUAACGAAUAAGGGGUGGGCAAGUUCUGGUGUCAGCCGCCGCGGUAAAACCAGCACCUCAAGUGGUCAGGAUGAUUAUUGGGCCUAAAGCAUCCGUAGCCGGCUCUGUAAGUUUUCGGUUAAAUCUGUACGCUCAACGUACAGGCUGCCGGAAAUACUGCAGAGCUAGGGAGUGGGAGAGGUAGACGGUACUCGGGAGGAAGGGGUAAAAUCCUUUGAUCUUUCGAUGACCACCUGUGGCGAAGGCGGUCUACCAGAACACGUCCGACGGUGAGGGAUGAAAGCUGGGGGAGCAAACCGGAUUAGAUACCCGGGUAGUCCCAGCUGUAAACUAUGCAAACUCAGUGAUGCAUUGACUUGUGGUCAAUGCAGUGCUGCAGGGAAGCCGUUAAGUUGCCGCCUGGGAAGUACGUACGCAAGUAUGAUAACUUAAAGGAAUUGGCGGGGGAGCAC
rnacentral:rRNA from 1 species